rnacentral:rRNA from 1 species
GAACAUAAGAGUUUGAUCCUGGCUCAGAUUGAACGCUGGCGGCAUGCUUUACACAUGCAAGUCGGACGGCAGCACGAGUACUUGUACUUGGUGGCGAGUGGCGAACGGGUGAGUAAUAUAUUGGCUGUCUCUUAUACACAUCU